AGUCGAACGGCAGCACGGGGGCAACCCUGGUGGCGAGUGGCGAACGGGUGAGUAAUACAUCGGAACGUGUCCUGUAGUGGGGGAUAGCCCGGCGAAAGCCGGAUUAAUACCGCAUACGCUCUACGGAGGAAAGGGGGGGAUCUUAGGACCUCUCGCUACAGGGGCGGCCGAUGGCAGAUUAGCUAGUUGGUGGGGUAAAGGCCUACCAAGGCGACGAUCUGUAGCUGGUCUGAGAGGACGACCAGCCACACUGGGACUGAGACACGGCCCAGACUCCUACGGGAGGCAGCAGUGGGGAAUUUUGGACAAUGGGCGAAAGCCUGAUCCAGCAAUGCCGCGUGUGUGAAGAAGGCCUUCGGGUUGUAAAGCACUUUUGUCCGGAAAGAAAACUUCUGUCCUAAUACGGCGGGAGGAUGACGGUACCGGAAGAAUAAGCACCGGCUAACUACGUGCCAGCAGCCGCGGUAAUACGUAGGGUGCAAGCGUUAAUCGGAAUUACUGGGCGUAAAGCGUGCGCAGGCGGUCCGCUAAGACAGAUGUGAAAUCCCCGGGCUUAACCUGGGAACUGCAUUUGUGACUGGCGGGCUAGAGUAUGGCAGAGGGGGGUAGAAUUCCACGUGUAGCAGUGAAAUGCGUAGAGAUGUGGAGGAAUACCGAUGGCGAAGGCAGCCCCCUG
rnacentral:rRNA from 1 species